rnacentral:rRNA from 1 species
CACGUAGGGGCCAAGCGUUGUCCGGAUUUAUUGGGCGUAAAGAGCUCGUAGGCGGUUCGACAAGUCGGGUGUGAAAACUCCGGGCUCAACCCGGAGACGCCACCCGAUACUGUCGUGACUGGAGUCCGGUAGGGGAGUGGGGAAUUCCUGGUGUAGCGGUGAAAUGCGCAGAUAUCAGGAGGAACACCGGUGGCGAAGGCGGGUCUCUGGGCAGUAACUGACGCUGAGGAGCGAAAGCGUGGGGAGCGAACAGG